rnacentral:rRNA from 1 species
GACGAACGCUGGCGGCGCGCCUAACACAUGCAAGUCGAACGGAGUCAAGAGGAGCUUGCUUUUCUUGACUUAGUGGCGAACGGGUGAGUAACGCGUGAGUAACCUGCCCUGGAGUGGGGGACAACGGUUGGAAACGACUGCUAAUACCGCAUAAGCCCACGGAUCUGCAUGGAUCUGCGGGAAAAGGAUUUAUUCGCUCUAGGAUGGACUCGCGUCCAAUUAGCUAGUUGGUGAGGUAACGGCCCACCAAGGCGACGAUUGGUAGCCGGACUGAGAGGUUGAACGGCCACAUUGGGACUGAGACACGGCCCAGACUCCUACGGGAGGCAGCAGUGGGGGAUAUUGCACAAUGGGGGAAACCCUGAUGCAGCGACGCCGCGUGGAGGAAGAAGGUUUUCGGAUUGUAAACUCCUGUCGUUAGGGACGAUAAUGACGGUACCUAACAAGAAAGCACCAGCUAACUACGUG